AAAAAAACGCUUAGAACCAACUUUUCUCGCUGGAUUUCCCCACGUCCGAGGAGCUCUCACACGGCGAAAUGAAAUUAAUAAUUAAAAUCCAAUUUGCGAAAAAAUGUCACCACCACGAAAAGUUUGUGAGGGAUUAAAGUAAAACUUAUGACUAAUGCGACUAAUUAGAUGCGGUAGAAGCACGCUCGUGAGGGAAACAAUACCAUGAAACAUUACAACUAAUACAGAGGAAGAAAUCAAGUGCGUGUAUAAAUGUGAAACUCGUUACCCCCUCUCCAUAAUGUCGAACUCAAGCGACUAGAAAAAUUCCGAAUCGAAUCGUCCUACAUGAAACUAGCCCAUUUCCUCAAGUGCCGUUUUGGGGGGUGUGCGUAGAUGGUGGGGUAGUUCCAGAUAUAACGGAGGGUGAAAGUGGCAUAUUUUGAACGUCAUCGAAGCUAGUUGUGGCGCCGCGCCGUUGGGGGCGGUAAUCGUGAAGUAGCAUAUUUCCAACCCUCCCACCAGACUAUCGGAACUGGCGUCGUCAGAACGCAGGGAAAGCUCGUUAAGUGAGUAAACAGUGUCUUCCAGCGUGGGAGGAGCAGAACGAGGUGAUAUUGCGUGGGUGGACUUUGGACCUGGGGCUGUGAGUGUGGAGUUCCUGGAAAAUAGUGGAGGAGGAAAACAGGAAGCUAACGGCCAACGGGAAAAUUCUCGCGAUUCUGUCUGGGCCGGGCUGUGGGGGGAGGGUAAUGCCGUUUGAUACGUCGUUGUCGUAAAAUUAAGUAAUUUAUGCGCCACUUUGCAUAAGUGUCGCGGCGAGCGACGCGGAGGUAUUUGGUCGUGGUUUGGGAAGAUCGUUUCUGCGACAUCGAGUUGUCUCGUGGUAUAGGCUGGAACUCAUAA